GAUGAACGCUGGCGGCGUGCCUAAUACAUGCAAGUCGAGCGAUCAGACGAGGAGCUUGCUCCUCUGACGUUAGCGGCGGACGGGUGAGUAACACGUGGAUAACCUACCUAUAAGACUGGGAUAACUUCGGGAAACCGGAGCUAAUACCGGAUAAUAUAUUGAACCGCAUGGUUCAAUAGUGAAAGACGGUUUUGCUGUCACUUAUAGAUGGAUCCGCGCCGCAUUAGCUAGUUGGUAAGGUAACGGCUUACCAAGGCGACGAUGCGUAGCCGACCUGAGAGGGUGAUCGGCCACACUGGAACUGAGACACGGUCCAGACUCCUACGGGAGGCAGCAGUAGGGAAUCUUCCGCAAUGGGCGAAAGCCUGACGGAGCAACGCCGCGUGAGUGAUGAAGGUCUUCGGAUCGUAAAACUCUGUUAUUAGGGAAGAACAAAUGUGUAAGUAACUAUGCACGCCUUGACGGUACCUAAUCAGAAAGCCACGGCUAACUACGUG
rnacentral:rRNA from 1 species